rnacentral:tRNA from 1 species
GUCCCUAUAGUAUAGAGGCCAAGAAUCUUUGGUGGUCAGCCAUUGGACCCGGGUUCGACUCCCGGUGGGGACG